GGGUUGUGAGGUUAAGCGACUAAGCGUACACGGUGGAUGCCCUGGCAGUCAGAGGCGAUGAAGGACGUGCUAAUCUGCGAUAAGCGUCGGUAAGGUGAUAUGAACCGUUAUAACCGGCGAUUUCCGAAUGGGGAAACCCAGUGUGUUUCGACACACUAUCAUUAACUGAAUCCAUAGGUUAAUGAGGCGAACCGGGGGAACUGAAACAUCUAAGUACCCCGAGGAAAAGAAAUCAACCGAGAUUCCCCCAGUAGCGGCGAGCGAACGGGGAGCAGCCCAGAGCCUGAAUCAGUGUGUGUGUUAGUGGAAGCGUCUGGAAAGGCGCGCGAUACAGGGUGACAGCCCCGUACACAAAAAUGCACAUACUGUGAGCUCGAUGAGUAGGGCGGGACACGUGGUAUCCUGUCUGAAUAUGGGGGGACCAUCCUCCAAGGCUAAAUACUCCUGACUGACCGAUAGUGAACCAGUACCGUGAGGGAAAGGCGAAAAGAACCCCGGCGAGGGGAGUGAAAAAGAACCUGAAACCGUGUACGUACAAGCAGUGGGAGCACGCUUCGGCGUGUGACUGCGUACCUUUUGUAUAAUGGGUCAGCGACUUAUAUUCUGUAGCAAGGUUAACCGAAUAGGGGAGCCGAAGGGAAACCGAGUCUUAACUGGGCGUUAAGUUGCAGGGUAUAGACCCGAAACCCGGUGAUCUAGCCAUGGGCAGGUUGAAGGUUGGGUAACACUAACUGGAGGACCGAACCGACUAAUGUUGAAAAAUUAGCGGAUGACUUGUGGCUGGGGGUGAAAGGCCAAUCAAACCGGGAGAUAGCUGGUUCUCCCCGAAAGCUAUUUAGGUAGCGCCUCGUGAAUUCAUCUCCGGGGGUAGAGCACUGUUUCGGCAAGGGGGUCAUCCCGACUUACCAACCCGAUGCAAACUGCGAAUACCGGAGAAUGUUAUCACGGGAGACACACGGCGGGUGCUAACGUCCGUCGUGAAGAGGGAAACAACCCAGACCGCCAGCUAAGGUCCCAAAGUCAUGGUUAAGUGGGAAACGAUGUGGGAAGGCCCAGACAGCCAGGAUGUUGGCUUAGAAGCAGCCAUCAUUUAAAGAAAGCGUAAUAGCUCACUGGUCGAGUCGGCCUGCGCGGAAGAUGUAACGGGGCUAAACCAUGCACCGAAGCUGCGGCAGCGACACUAUGUGUUGUUGGGUAGGGGAGCGUUCUGUAAGCCUGUGAAGGUGUACUGUGAGGUAUGCUGGAGGUAUCAGAAGUGCGAAUGCUGACAUAAGUAACGAUAAAGCGGGUGAAAAGCCCGCUCGCCGGAAGACCAAGGGUUCCUGUCCAACGUUAAUCGGGGCAGGGUGAGUCGACCCCUAAGGCGAGGCCGAAAGGCGUAGUCGAUGGGAAACAGGUUAAUAUUCCUGUACUUGGUGUUACUGCGAAGGGGGACGGAGAAGGCUAUGUUGGCCGGGCGACGGUUGUCCCGGUUUAAGCGUGUAGGCUGGUUUUCCAGGCAAAUCCGGAAAAUCAAGGCUGAGGCGUGAUGACGAGGCACUACGGUGCUGAAGCAACAAAUGCCCUGCUUCCAGGAAAAGCCUCUAAGCAUCAGGUAACAUUAAAUCGUACCCCAAACCGACACAGGUGGUCAGGUAGAGAAUACCAAGGCGCUUGAGAGAACUCGGGUGAAGGAACUAGGCAAAAUGGUGCCGUAACUUCGGGAGAAGGCACGCUGAUAUGUAGGUGAAGUCCCUCGCGGAUGGAGCUGAAAUCAGUCGAAGAUACCAGCUGGCUGCAACUGUUUAUUAAAAACACAGCACUGUGCAAACACGAAAGUGGACGUAUACGGUGUGACGCCUGCCCGGUGCCGGAAGGUUAAUUGAUGGGGUUAGCGGUAACGCGAAGCUCUUGAUCGAAGCCCCGGUAAACGGCGGCCGUAACUAUAACGGUCCUAAGGUAGCGAAAUUCCUUGUCGGGUAAGUUCCGACCUGCACGAAUGGCGUAAUGAUGGCCAGGCUGUCUCCACCCGAGACUCAGUGAAAUUGAACUCGCUGUGAAGAUGCAGUGUACCCGCGGCAAGACGGAAAGACCCCGUGAACCUUUACUAUAGCUUGACACUGAACAUUGAGCCUUGAUGUGUAGGAUAGGUGGGAGGCUUUGAAGUGUGGACGCCAGUCUGCAUGGAGCCGACCUUGAAAUACCACCCUUUAAUGUUUGAUGUUCUAACGUUGACCCGUGAUCCGGGUUGCGGACAGUGUCUGGUGGGUAGUUUGACUGGGGCGGUCUCCUCCUAAAGAGUAACGGAGGAGCACGAAGGUUGGCUAAUCCUGGUCGGACAUCAGGAGGUUAGUGCAAUGGCAUAAGCCAGCUUGACUGCGAGCGUGACGGCGCGAGCAGGUGCGAAAGCAGGUCAUAGUGAUCCGGUGGUUCUGAAUGGAAGGGCCAUCGCUCAACGGAUAAAAGGUACUCCGGGGAUAACAGGCUGAUACCGCCCAAGAGUUCAUAUCGACGGCGGUGUUUGGCACCUCGAUGUCGGCUCAUCACAUCCUGGGGCUGAAGUAGGUCCCAAGGGUAUGGCUGUUCGCCAUUUAAAGUGGUACGCGAGCUGGGUUUAGAACGUCGUGAGACAGUUCGGUCCCUAUCUGCCGUGGGCGCUGGAGAACUGAGGGGGGCUGCUCCUAGUACGAGAGGACCGGAGUGGACGCAUCACUGGUGUUCGGGUUGUCAUGCCAAUGGCACUGCCCGGUAGCUAAAUGCGGAAGAGAUAAGUGCUGAAAGCAUCUAAGCACGAAACUUGCCCCGAGAUGAGUUCUCCCUGACUCCUUGAGAGUCCUGAAGGAACGUUGAAGACGACGACGUUGAUAGGCCGGGUGUGUAAGCGCAGCGAUGCGUUGAGCUAACCGGUACUAAUGAACCGUGAGGCUUAACCUUACAACGCCGAAGGUGUUU
rnacentral:rRNA from 1 species